rnacentral:tRNA from 1 species
GCCUGGCUGGCUCAGUCAGUAGAGUGUGCGACUCUUGAUCUCAGGAUCAUGAGUUCGAGUCCCACGGUGGGCG